CUGAGGAUGCGACCAGGACCCUGGGGAAAGACAUGAAGUGGUCAACAUUAACCUGAGAAACAAGCCUGAAUGGUACUAUACAAAGCACCCUUUUGGCCACAUUCCUGUCCUGGAGACCAGCCAAUGCCAACUGAUCUAUGAAUCUGUUAUUGCUUGUGAGUACCUGGAUGACGCUUAUCCAGGAAGGAAGCUGUUUCCAUAUGACCCUUAUGAACGAGCUCGCCAAAAGAUGUUAUUGGAGCUAUUUUGUAAGGUCCCACAUUUGACCAAGGAGUGCCUGGUAGCGUUGAGAUGUGGGAGAGAAUGCACUGAUCUGAAGGCAGCCCUGCGUCAGGAAUUCAGCAACCUGGAAGAGGAUAGGAAGAAAAGAAAGUUUAUACCCGGUUAAUUUGUCACUGAAAACAAUUUUCUGAAUGGAAUUACCAGAUCAAAGGGUAUAAUGAGCACAUUGGAGGCUUGGACUGUAUUUCACUAAAUUGCUUCCCAAAAGACUUGUGUUGUUUGCCCCUCACCAGCACAAGUACAGCAGCCCCCACUGGGAGCCACCACACUGUUUCGAGAUUGGGGGCCUGGGAUUUCUUGGCAAUGGUGUAGAUGGUGGUGAAGAUUUCUUCAUCCUCCGGUUGAACGUUCUUGGGGAGCCGCAGCCGACGCGCCUCGCACUGAUGGCCACCAGGGGGAGCCCCGCGCGCUUCCUCCUUCCCCUUGUGUUCCAGGGCGCACUUCAAAACGCUGACGUUCUCCUUCGUCCCUCUGGGGGCGC
rnacentral:sRNA from 1 species